rnacentral:rRNA from 1 species
AGCGAACGCUGGCGGCAGGCCUAACACAUGCAAGUCGAACGAACUCUUCGGAGUUAGUGGCGGACGGGUGAGUAACACGUGGGAACGUGCCUUUAGGUUCGGAAUAACUCAGGGAAACUUGUGCUAAUACCGAAUGUGCCCUUCGGGGGAAAGAUUUAUCGCCUUUAGAGCGGCCCGCGUCUGCUUAGCUAGUUGGUGAGGUAAAGGCUCACCAAGGCGACGAUCAGUAGCUGGUCUGAGAGGAUGAUCAGCCACAUUGGGACUGAGACACGGCCCAAACUCCUACGGGAGGCAGCAGUGGGGAAUCUUGCGCAAUGGGCGAAAGCCUGACGCAGCCAUGCCGCGUGAAUGAUGAAGGUCUUAGGAUUGUAAAAUUCUUUCACCGGGGACGAUAAUGACGGUACCCGGAGAAGAAGCCCCGGCUAACUUCGUG